GUGCCAGCAGCCGCGGUAAUACGUAGGUGGCAAGCGUUGUCCGGAUUUACUGGGCGUAAAGGGUGUGCAGGCGGUUUCUUAAGUGUGAUGUGAAAUCCCAGGGCUUAACUUGGGGGGUGCAUUUCAAACUGGGUGACUAGAGUGCAGAAGAGGAAAGUAGAAUUCCUAGUGUAGCGGUGAAAUGCGUAGAGAUUAGGAAGAAAACCAGUGGCGAAGGCGGCUUUCUGGACUGCAACUGACGCUGAGGCGUGAAAGCAUGGGGAGCAAACAGGAUUAGAUACCCUGGUAGUCCACGCCGUAAACGAUGAAUGCUAGGUGUAGGAGG
rnacentral:rRNA from 1 species